rnacentral:rRNA from 1 species
CAAUAGCGUAUAUUUAAGUUGCUGCAGUUAAAAAGUUCGUAGUUGGAUUUCGGGUGGGAAUGGCCGGUCCGCCGUUUCGGUGUGCACUUGCUACGCCCACCUUGCUGCCGGGGACGUGCUCUUGAGUUCACGCUCGGGACACGGAGUCGGCGAGGUUACUUUGAGUAAAUUAGAGUGUUCAAAGCAGGCCUACGCUCUGAAUACAUUAGCAUGGAAUAACACGAUAGGACUCUGGCCUAUCUUGUUGGUCUGUAGGACCGGAGUAAUGAUUAAGAGGGACAGUCGGGGGCAUUCGUAUUUCAUUGUCAGAGGUGAAAUUCUUGGAUUUAUGAAAGACGAACUACUGCGAAAGCGUCUGCCAAGGAUGUUUUCAUUGA